rnacentral:rRNA from 1 species
UACGUAGGGUGCAAGCGUUGCCCGGAAUUAUUGGGCGUAAAGAGCUCGUAGGCGGUCAGUCGCGUCUGCUGUGAAAACUCGGGGCUUAACUCCGGGCCUGCAGUGGGUACGGGCUGACUAGAGUGCGGUAGGGGAGACUGGAAUUCCUGGUGUAGCGGUGAAAUGCGCAGAUAUCAGGAGGAACACCGGUGGCGAAGGCGGGUCUCUGGGCCGUAACUGACGCUGAGGAGCGAAAGCGUGGGGAGCGAACAGG